rnacentral:rRNA from 1 species
GAUGAACGCUGGCGGCGUGCCUAACACAUGCAAGUCGAGCGCGAUUAACUGGAGUGAAGCUUCGGCAGAGCGAAAGUUAUGAAAGCGGCGGACGGGUGAGUAACGCGUGGGUAACCUGCCCUAUGCAGCGGGAUAGCAGUUGGAAACGACUAUUAAUACCGCAUAAGCACACAGCACCGCAUGGUGCAGUGUGAAAAGAUUUAUCGGCAUAGGAUGGACCCGCGUCUGAUUAGCUAGUUGGUGAGGUAACGGCUCACCAAGGCGACGAUCAGUAGCCGACCUGAGAGGGUGAUCGGCCACACUGGGACUGAGACACGGCCCAGACUCCUACGGGAGGCAGCAGUGGGGAAUAUUGCACAAUGGGCGCAAGCCUGAUGCAGCAACGCCGCGUGAAUGAAGAAGGUCUUCGGAUCGUAAAGUUCUUUUCUUAGGGAAGAAACCAUGACGGUACCUAAGGAAUAAGCACCGGCUAACUACGUGCCAGCAGCCGCGGUAAGAC